rnacentral:rRNA from 1 species
UACGGGGGGAGCAAGCGUUGUCCGGAAUUAUUGGGCGUAAAGGGCUCGUAGGCGGUUUGUCGCGUCGGGAGUGAAAACCUCGGGCUUAACUCGGGGCUUGCUUUCGAUACGGGCAGACUGGAGGUAUGCAGGGGAGAACGGAAUUCCUGGUGUAGCGGUGAAAUGCGCAGAUAUCAGGAGGAACACCAGAGGCGAAGGCGGCCUACUGGGUCAGUACUGACGCUGAGCCGCGAAAGCCAGGGGAGCGAACGGG